rnacentral:rRNA from 1 species
GAUGAACGCUAGCUACAGGCUUAACACAUGCAAGUCGAGGGGCAGCAUGGUCUUAGCUUGCUAAGGCCGAUGGCGACCGGCGCACGGGUGAGUAACACGUAUCCAACCUGCCGUCUACUCUUGGACAGCCUUCUGAAAGGAAGAUUAAUACAAGAUGGCAUCAUGAGUCCGCAUGUUCACAUGAUUAAAGGUAUUCCGGUAGACGAUGGGGAUGCGUUCCAUUAGAUAGUAGGCGGGGUAACGGCCCACCUAGUCUUCGAUGGAUAGGGGUUCUGAGAGGAAGGUCCCCCACAUUGGAACUGAGACACGGUCCAAACUCCUACGGGAGGCAGCAGUGAGGAAUAUUGGUCGAUGGGCGAGAGCCUGAACCAGCCAAGUAGCGUGAAGGAUGACUGCCCUAUGGGUUGUAAACUUCUUUUAUAAAGGAAUAAAGUCGGGUAUGGAUACCCGUUUGCAUGUACUUUAUGAAUAAGGAUCGGCUAACUCCGUGCCAGCAGCCGCGGUAAUACGGAGGAUCCGAGCGUUAUCCGGAUUUAUUGGGUUUAAAGGGAGCGUAGAUGGAUGUUUAAGUCAGUUGUGAAAGUUUGCGGCUCAACCGUAAAAUUGCAGUUGAUACUGGAUAUCUUGAGUGCAGUUGAGGCAGGCGGAAUUCGUGGUGUAGCGGUGAAAUGCUUAGAUAUCACGAAGAACUCCGAUUGCGAAGGCAGCCUGCUAAGCUGCAACUGACAUUGAGGCUCGAAAGUGUGGGUAUCAAACAGGAUUAUAUACCCUGAUAGUCCACACUGCACAACGAAGAAUACACGCUGUCUACGAUAUAUUGCACGCGGUCAAGCGAAAGCGUGAAGUAUCCUACGUGGUGAGUACGCCGGCAGCGGUGAAACUCAAAGGAAUUGAUCGGGGGCCCGCACAAGCGGACGAACAUGUGGUCAAAUUUGUAUGAUACGAGAGGAACUUUACCCGCACUUGACUUGCAGCUGAAUGAUGGUGAAAGCCGUAAGACGCAAGGCCUCUGAGAAGUUGUUGCAUGGUUGUCGUCAGGUAGGGCCGUGAGGUGUGUGGUCUUAAGUGCCAUAGCGAGCGCAACCCUCGUAAUCAGUUACUAACAGGGUCCGGUGAGGACUUUGACACGACAGCCAUCGUAAGAUGUGAGGAAGGAGGGGAUGACGUCAAAUCAGCACGGCCCAUACGUCCGGGGCUACACACGUGCUACAUUGGGAGGUACAGAGGGCCGGUACCACGCGAGUGGAUGCCAAUCCCCAAAACCUCUCUCAGUUCGGACUGGAGUCCGCAACCCGACUCCAAGAAGAAGGAUUCGUUAGUAAUCGCGCAUCAGCCACGGAGGGGUGAAUACAUUCUCCGUCCU